CCUACGGGAGGCAGCAGUAGGGAAUCUUCCGCAAUGGACGAAAGUCUGACGGAGCAACGCCGCGUGAACGAUGAAGGCCUUCGGGUCGUAAAGUUCUGUUGUUAGGGAAGAACAAGUGCUAGUUGAAUAAGCUGGCACCUUGACGGUACCUAACCAGAAAGCCACGGCUAACUACGUGCCAGCAGCCGCGGUAAUACGUAGGUGGCAAGCGUUGUCCGGAAUUAUUGGGCGUAAAGCGCGCGCAGGCGGUUUCUUAAGUCUGAUGUGAAAGCCCCCGGCUCAACCGGGGAGGGUCAUUGGAAACUGGGAAACUUGAGUGCAGAAGAGGAAAGUGGAAUUCCAAGUGUAGCGGUGAAAUGCGUAGAGAUUUGGAGGAACACCAGUGGCGAAAGGCGACUUUCUGGUCUGUAACUGACGCUGAGGCGCGAAAGCGUGGGGAGCAAACAGGAUUAGAUACCCUGGUAGUCCACGCUGUAAACGAUGAGUGCUAAGUGUUAGAGGGUUUCCGCCCUUUAGUGCUGAAGUUAACGCAUUAAGCACUCCGCCUGGGGAUACGGUCGCAAGACUGAAACUCAAAAGNUAGUCGACGNGNGAGAGCGACGACGACGACGAGGAGGAGAG
rnacentral:rRNA from 1 species